CAUUGAUCAAGCUGCCAGUAGUUUGACUGAAGUGACAGAGACAGUUCUUUUCAGUUUUCUCCAUCAUCUCAGAAUGAACAUCCACCAGCUUCUGUUUCUGUGCUUCUUCCCAGCACUGAGGCGCUUUGGGCUUGUCAGUGCAAAACUCAGGAUUUACACAGGAGCUGAAGGAGGAAAUGGUACGCUUAACUGCCACUUUUCUCAGCCUGGAAGCAGAACGUUCUUCUGUAAGGAACAAUGUAAAGAAGACGACAUUCUCAUUAAAACAGAUGAUGUCAGAGCCACCAGUGGCAGAUACAGCACUAAAUAUAAAAAAGAAUCUUCUGGUAAAGUAAUUCUAUCUGUGACCUUUACACAUCUGGCCAAGUCUGACUCAGGACGGUACAGACAUGGUUUGGGUUUGGACACGUCUCUGGUUCCAGAUUCAUACUGUGACUUUGAGAUCAAAGUUUCAGACGCACCUUUGGCCGAUAACUCAAUUUUUCACUAUACAAGUACUCAAGGAGAAAAUGUUGAAUAUCCAUGUUUCAAUAAUAGUAACAGAGGCAGUAUAUUCUUCUGUAAGGAGCCAUGUAAAAAAGAAGAAGACGUCCUCAUUGAAACAGAAAACAGCAGCGCCCAGAAAGGCAGAUACAGCAUCGAAUAUAAAGCAAACUCCGUAUUUGGACUGUAUGUGACCAUCAAACAGGUGGACACAUGGGACAGAGGACGGUACAGGUGUGGCUAUGGCAGAGCUUUGUCUUCUGAUUCAUAUACAACAUUUUCAGUCAUUACUGAAGAUGCAGAUGCUGGAGACAGGAAACAGGAGGAGCCUAUGACGCCUAUGACUCAGUUCAGCAGCCUAAAACCAACAGCAGACGCCAGUGUAAGGACUCCCCUACCAGAGAACUCAACAGGUUUAUAUAAUUUAACACUUUUCAGGUUAUUGCUCCACAGGUUUACUAGUAUCCAACAGGGCAGCUUUAAUUCCAAGCCCAAGACAAUAAAUACCAUUUAUUAAUCAUACACCACGACUGUCUGUCUACUAUCUCUCUCUCUCUCUCUCUCUCUCUCUUCCCAGCCUUCUCCCAGCUCUCUCACCCAGAUUAUUUCUGGCCUCUGGUAGUAUGUGUCCCCUUGGCUGCUGUAUUACUGUCUUUCGUGUUUCCGCUGCUGCUGUACAAACAGAUGAGGAGGAGGAAGACCAGAGGAAACAUAGAUGGUGUAAAUAUGGAGGUGACGUUCUUUUGCUUGUUUGUCUCUGGUUACAUGAGUCUAAGUGGCUGCUAUGUGGUGUUGGAUUUGCAGAGUAGUUCUCACACUAAGGGCACCUAAUGAUUGCUGACUGCAAACUAUCCAUACUCCACACAGAAAUGCCCCAGGUCGAUUUGAGUUCAAACCUUUGACUGUGUGGCGACAGCGAGACACCACUGUACCAUAGUUCCACCUCCUCUAAAAAAAAUAUAUAUAUAUAUAGUUUGUAGGGAAUGGGUGGAUGGAUGAGUCUAAGAAUAACACACAGCUGGUCUGUUGUGGCAGGUUUCAGUUCUCUCCUUUGUAUUUUUCAGACUUAUCAGAACUGGACUCCAGUCUCUGGGUGUGAAGACUCUGUGUACGAGAGCCUUGAUCCAGCCAGCAGGGACCAGAACCAAUGCUACUCUGUUUUCACAAAGACAUACACCAAAUGCUAAUGUUUUAAUCUGAAUCUGGAGUGUGUGUUGAUCUUGUGCUGCUAGGCUCCGUCUUUUAUUUUAUUGUUUGGCAAAUAUUUCAUAAUUUUAUCAUAUAUUUUAUAACUUCUCUUUCUGAUGACACAGACCUGAUCAUGUUUCUUCAGGAGUUCAGCACCUUCUCACUUGAUUAUUUUGAAAUCUGUCUUCAAAAAGUGGAUGUGUCUGUAGUUCUUCUUCUACACUCUGAGCAUUACAUAAAGAAAUGAGUGUAGUCCUGCUUAUUUCAGAUUAUUGCUUUGAUUCAGUUAUUAAAUCAUUGUAUCUGCUGUUGGGUCCAGUUUUUUCCAAUAUCUUAGUACAGGAAGAAGUACAUAUUGCACCGUGAUGGCUAAACAGAAAUACUCUUACACUGCUGGUAUGGUUGAAUGUGUGAAAAAACACAGCGACUCAACAACCACAGCUCCAAAUGUG
ensembl:lncRNA uncharacterized LOC113146033